UCUGGAGACUACAUGUAGAAAUGGCACCUCAAAAGGGGAAGGAAAAGAAGGAAGAACAGGUCAUCAGCCUUGGACCUUGGGUGGGUGUAGGAGAGAAUGUAUUUGGUGUCUGCCAAAUUUUUGCAUCCUUCACUGACACUUUGGUCCAUGUCACUUUUGUCCAUGGCUGGAAGAUGCAGCUUCCAGCUGCAUCCAUUUGCUGCAAAGGGCAUGAUUUUUGUUCUUUUAGAUCUUUCUGUCAAAGAAACGCUCUGCCGUGUUACUGGUGGGAUGUAGGUGAAGGCAGACCCAGAUGAAACCUUACCAUAAGCUGCCAUGCUGGCCACCCAGGAUGUGGCCCAGAGGUGCAAGGAGCUGGGCAUCACUGCCCUACACAUCAAACUCUGGGCCACAGGAGGAAACAGGAACAAGUCCCCUAGACCUGGGGCCCAGAUGUCCCUCAGAGCCCCUUGCCUGCUCAGGUAUGAAGAUCCGGCAGAUUGAAGAUGUCACUCCAUUUCCCCUCUGACAGCACUCCCAGGAAGGGGGGUCA
rnacentral:lncRNA from 1 species